UUUGUAGUUUGUCGAUUUAGUUGGGGGGGUAGGAUUCCAAUGAUGUCAUUUGUUAUAGUUAUAGUCUGAAAUUUUACGAUUAUUGAUGAGACUUCACCGGCGAACUGACUAACAGUUCUGUCAAUUGUUUUUAUUUUUUUACUAAUAAUAAUUUCAUAUUUUUUUAUUUUAAUUUUAUAGAUAACAUUUCCGGUUAUAUAGCAGUGCUACAACAAUGUUCAAUUCCAACAUAAGAUAGAUUUCUUUUGUUUGACAUCGAGGCGUUCCAAUUUGGUGCCGAAGUGAUGCCAAAUCCACGGGAGCCUGUCAAGAGCUGUUGGAAUAUCCAUGGGGAGAUUUGGGCAAUACCUAAAUGAAUAAAGAGAACCAGAAGGGAAGCAGGAAAGUGAAUCUCCCUUUUCUUUUGUCUAGCUGAAUUGAAGUCUAAAAAGAAAUCGUUUAUUUUAAAUUACCCCACGCUUUUAAGCCGGCCAUUUCUACGUCUAGAGUAGUAAUGGUGUGCUCGUUGUGGGAACAGUAAAGUCUUUUCUUGUGUAUGGUUGCUUAGUUAACCAUCUGUGUCAACCAAAGGACGAUUAGAAACAAAAAAUAUAUUUUUUCAAUUUUUAUUAAUAGAAUUGAAUUUGUACCAAAUUAAAUUUUUCAGCACAAUCAAAAUAAAUACAUAAG